rnacentral:rRNA from 1 species
GAUGAACGCUGGCGGCGUGCCUAAUACAUGCAAGUCGAGCGAACAGACGAGGAGCUUGCUCCUUUGACGUUAGCGGCGGACGGGUGAGUAACACGUGGAUAACCUACCUAUAAGACUGGGAUAACUUCGGGAAACCGGAGCUAAUACCGGAUAACAUGUUGAACCGCAUGGUUCAACAGUGAAAGACGGUCUUGCUGUCACUUAUAGAUGGAUCCGCGCCGCAUUAGCUAGUUGGUAAGGUAACGGCUUACCAAGGCAACGAUGCGUAGCCGACCUGAGAGGGUGAUCGGCCACACUGGAACUGAGACACGGUCCAGACUCCUACGGGAGGCAGCAGUAGGGAAUCUUCCGCAAUGGGCGAAAGCCUGACGGAGCAACGCCGCGUGAGUGAAGAAGGUCUUCGGAUCGUAAAACUCUGUUAUUAGGGAAGAACAAAUGUGUAAGUAACUAUGCACGUCUUGACGGUACCUAAUCAGAAAGCCACGGCUAACUACG